UGAAAAAAUUGCUUUGAAGUGGCCACACCUUAAAGCUGACGUUUUCAGAAGAGCACCUUGUUUUAAGAUCUCAUUUUGUCCAAAAUUGCGUCCUAUGACAGAUAUAAUACUUAUUUCAUUAUUGCUCUGUGUAUGUGUGACCUUCAUCAUUUGAGGUUAUGUGUUGAUUUCACCUCUGAAUAUUUCCUCUUAUAGGUCCUUCAUCCUUGCAUGCGCUACACACUCAAAAGCAUUGAUAAAUGCUGAAUUUAAAAGAAUCACUACUGUCUUAUGUUCCUGCGUGUCACCUGGACCUCCAAUCCAAAAACCUGACGAAACUCUUCUAUCAGAAAGGAGGACAGCUAGCAAAAAGACUUCAAACAAUGAAUGAUCAAAUGACAGAAGGCAUGGAUGAAGUCAGCAUCAGCGAGGUCAUUUGAAGACACCACUGUUGGGAUUUGUGCUCUCAAACAACAUGCUUCUUGUGAUGAAGAAGAGGAUCUUUGUAUAGUCCUGGAAGGCAUGAAGGUGUUGCAACAUCGUGCCAUGUUGUUUGAGCUGAUGUAUGCCUUAAACCUGAGCUAUCCUGAUCUCCGCUUUAUUUUUGAGGAAAUCCAAAAGAUUUUAAUGGAACUGCAUUGAGCGUAACUUUAACGAACCGUUUCUUUCAGUGAAAGGAUCAGAAAGACU